UCGACAAAGACAAAGUGGCACCAUGAAGGAGAGGAGGAUGAAGUUUUAAAAAGGGACCGUGAUAUGUACAAAGUUGGUUAACCUGUUGGGAUUAUUUUGUUCUAUGGAGGAUGGUGGAAGACACAAAUGGACUAAUUUACACUAAACUACAGCAGGCUGAGCAGGGACAACACUUGCAAAUAAUGCAGCAAUCAGCCUGCAGCCUGUCUCACCUGUUUCCAAGUUGUCAGAUAUAAAGACUGAUAUAAUUCAGGCCUGCUGGUGGUAAAUAAAGCUUAUUUGUUCUCCAA